rnacentral:rRNA from 1 species
GUUGUCCGGAUUUAUUGGGUUUAAAGGGUACGUAGGCGGAAUUUUAAGUCAGUAGUGAAAGCCCAUUGCUUAACAAUGGAACUGCUAUUGAAACUGAAAUUCUUGAAUAUAGUUGAAGUAGGCGGAAUACGGCAUGUAGCGGUGAAAUGCAUAGAUAUGCCGUGGAACACCGAUCGCGAAGGCAGCUUACUAAGCUAUUAUUGACGCUAAGGUACGAAAGCGUGGGGAGCGAACAGGAUUAGAUACCCU